rnacentral:other from 1 species
AAUACCCUGCUGUGUGCGUGCUGCAGCCAUUGCGUUCUGUACCAACACCCACUUAUAGGGUUCCAAUCUUACGGGCGGUGACGCGUUAGGCCUCGGCCAAGGCGGAUCCCUCGAGGCGGAACCCCUCCUGCGAAGGCAGGUUCAGAACAUCGCUGUCCACGGCAUGGUGGGGUUUUU